rnacentral:misc_RNA from 1 species
UCGUUCAGUUGAUGAGAUUGAACGGUGGAGAUUGGCACGAGAUCCUGUUGCUAGAUUUCAGAAAUGGAUAGAAAACAAUGGUUGGUGGAGCAGUGAGGCUGAGUCAGAGCUUAGAAGCAGUGUGAGGAAGCAGCUAUUAAACGCAAUACAAGUGGCAGAGAGGGUUGAAAAACCUCCGGUCGCCGAUAUUUUUUCAGACGUGUAUGAUAUUCCCCCAUCCAACCUCUUUGAGCAAGAGAAGUGGCUUAGAGAGGCCAUCAAGAGACACCCACAAGAUUACCCAUCAGUUUUUCCCCAG